GACUCCAUGAAGCUGGAUUCGCUAGUAAUCGCGCAUCAGCCACGGCGCGGUGAAUACGUUCCCGGGCCUUGUACACACCGCCCGUCAAGCCAUGGAAGCCGGGAGUGCCUGAAGUGCGUGAGCGCAAGCAGCGCCCUAAGGUAAAACCGGUGACUGGGGCUAAGUCGUAACAAGGUAGC
rnacentral:rRNA from 1 species